AAAGCCCAGGGGCGGUGGCUGGAGCCUUGAGCGGGGCAGAGGGGCCGUAGGACCCACAGGGAGGUGAUUCAAGGCCGGGCUGGCGGGGCUCUGAGCGGCCUGAUCUGGUGGAAAGUGCCCCUGCCCAGAGCAGCGGGGUUGGAACUGGAUGGUCUUUAAGUGGGAUCGUAUAAAGGGACAACAGGAAUAUCCAGGCCUUAGUCAAGGAAGCGAUUCUACAGCCGACAUGGUUCGAAUUCCACCUGACCUUGGCUCUUGCCCUCUGUUGGCGUGGUGCUGGCACAUCAAAGCUGGCCCUUCCCGCUUAAAAGAAAUCUGAGGAAAUAAUAUCUCUCAGAACUGUGAGAUAAUCUUAAUUGUGAUAUGGACGUUGCUGUUAGCACUGGAAUAAAGUUAAAUUUUUCCUUUGUA